rnacentral:tRNA from 1 species
GUAGCGGCGGCGGGCGCGCUUCACGCGCGCCGUUCAUGGCGGCGCGUGUCGCCGCGCGCAGGCGCGGUCGCGCCC